rnacentral:rRNA from 1 species
UGGGGAAUAUUGCACAAUGGGGGAAACCCUGAUGCAGCGACGCCGCGUGAACGAAGAAGGUAUUCGUAUCGUAAAGUCCUGUCCUAUGGGAAGAUAAUGACAGUACCAUAGAAGAAAGCUCCGGCUAAAUACGUGCCAGCAGCCGCGGUAAUACGUAUGGAGCGAGCGUUGUCCGGAAUUAUUGGGCGUAAAGGGUACGCAGGCGGUUUAAUAAGUCGAAUGUUAAAGAUCGGGGCUCAACCCCGCAAAGCAUUGGAAACUGAUAAACUUGAGUAGUGGAGAGGAAAGUGGAAUUCCUAGUGUAGUGGUGAAAUACGUAGAUAUUAGGAGGAAUACCAGUAGCGAAGGCGACUUUCUGGACACAAACUGACGCUGAGGUACGAAAGCGUGGGGAGCAAACAGG